UCAUCUGGACUAUCAUUAUGUGGAUGAUGAAUGCAAUGAUCUACGUGGUCCAGGGAAAAUUGCAGCGCUUUACAAUAGGCAUAAAUACAGCGCUUUCAUUGGACCGUCUUGCUCAAAUGUCUGUGCAGUGACUGCUAAACUAGCAGCUUUCUGGAACAUUGCUGUCAUCAGUCCGGUAUGUGCAGACCAACAGUUUCUGGAUAAGAAGGCCUACCCAACGUUAACUAGAGUGUUUGGACCCUUCACUAAACUAGGAGCAUUCUUUGUGGAAAUCUGUAAACAGUUUGGCUGGCAGCACAUCGGCAUCAUCUAUGACGGCAAACCAACCUGGGCUAUUCCUGUUGAGGGCAUCAAGUAUGUACAAAAUGUUCCUUACAAACAUAUUUUUGUCG